rnacentral:pre_miRNA from 1 species
AUAGUACUCCCUCCGUCCGGAAUUACUUGUCGCACAAAUGGAUAAAAUUGGAUGUAUCUAGAACAUCUGGAUACAUCCAUUCUUGUGACAAGUAUUUCCGGACGGAAGGAGUAGUAA